rnacentral:rRNA from 1 species
UGCAAGUCGAACGGUGAAAGAGGAGCUUGCUCCUCUGGAUCAGUGGCGAACGGGUGAGUAACACGUGAGUAACCUGCCCUUGACUCUGGGAUAAGCACUGGAAACGGUGUCUAAUACCGGAUACGAGCUUCAGCCGCAUGGCUAGGAGCUGGAAAGAAUUUCGGUCAAGGAUGGACUCGCGGCCUAUCAGCUAGUUGGUGAGGUAAUGGCUCACCAAGGCGACGACGGGUAGCCGGCCUGAGAGGGUGACCGGCCACACUGGGACUGAGACACGGCCCAGACUCCUACGGGAGGCAGCAGUGGGGAAUAUUGCACAAUGGGCGCAAGCCUGAUGCAGCAACGCCGCGUGAGGGACGACGGCCUUCGGGUUGUAAACCUCUUUUAGUAGGGAAGAAGCGAAAGUGACGGUACCUGCAGAAAAAGCACCGGCUAACUACGUGCCAGCAGCCGCGGUAAUACGUAGGGUGCAAGCGUUAUCCGGAAUUAUUGGGCGUAAAGAGCUCGUAGGCGGUUUGUCGCGUCUGCUGUGAAAACUGGAGGCUCAACCUCCAGCCUGCAGUGGGUACGGGCAGACUAGAGUGCGGUAGGGGAGAUUGGAAUUCCUGGUGUAGCGGUGGAAUGCGCAGAUAUCAGGAGGAACACCGAUGGCGAAGGCAGAUCUCUGGGCCGUAACUGACGCUGAGGAGCGAAAGCAUGGGGAGCGAACAGGAUUAGAUACCCUGGUAGUCCAUGCCGUAAACGUUGGGAACUAGAUGUAGGGGCCAUUCCACGGCUUCUGUGUCGCAGCUAACGCAUUAAGUUCCCCGCCUGGGGAGUACGGCCGCAAGGCUAAAACUCAAAGGAAUUGACGGGGGCCCGCACAAGCGGCGGAGCAUGCGGAUUAAUUCGAUGCAACGCGAAGAACCUUACCAAGGCUUGACAUAUACCCGGAAAAGUUCAGAAAUGUUCUCCCCGCAAGGCCGGUAUACAGGUGGUGCAUGGUUGUCGUCAGCUCGUGUCGUGAGAUGUUGGGUUAAGUCCCGCAACGAGCGCA